rnacentral:lncRNA from 1 species
UUUAUUUUCCUGGGACAGGGAAUCUCCAGACACGACAAAGUAUGUAUCUACAUCUGAAAAUUUUCUUAGCUUUUCCAGAAAUAUGAUUUUGGUUUAUCUAUUACCACUACCCCAAUUUACAUUGGAUUUGUGUGCACAUUCUAAAAGUAAGGUUGCAUGGUCCAUUUUUGUAAGGUCAUAUUUUCUGAUCAUAACUUAUGACAAUCACGGUUCUAAGCGGUUAGUUUAGCUUAUUUCACCUCAUUGCAUUAAACUCCAUAGUCCAUAGUUUGAAUUUUUUAAUCCACGGAUCCUACUUAUGCCAUUUCAUGUUCCUCCACUUCUGGCCUUCUCCAUCCGUGACCAACACUACUAUAUGUAUGCAAAUAAUGUAAGUUCACAAGCUCCAAUCCAAAUUAUGUAGCCGCCAUGGUGAGAACUAACAAUUGUAUUCCUUCUAAUAUGGGAAAAAUGAUGUUGGUCAAUUUGCUUAAAAUAUACAAGAACUGAGUAGCGGCCACUUGCUUGCAUAAAAUAGACAGUUUAAUUUAUGGUAUGCUUCAGGUUUUUGUCAUACAUGUUAAUUUGGUAAGAGAACUUGUGUGCUGUUUUAAAUUAACUCAAUCUGGGAGCUAGCUAAUGGAUAUUUCCUUUGUUCAUUCUCAGUUUUGAUUUGAGCAAUAUAUAGAGGUAAAACUGUGUCUAUCAUAGCUUGCCACAGAACUAGUUAAGGCUUACUAAACAUUUAACGGUUUAAAACUAAGUAAAAAAUAUGAAAUAAAUAGGGAAGCCUCACUCCAAUAUAAUAAGAUGAUCCAACGGUGUGAUUGUGAAAAUAUGCAUUUAUGCAUCCUUAAUGAAAAAAACAAGCAUUUCAGCUCACUACAGGAUCAAUAUAUAUUGAAACAUUUGUUCUUUUUGUCCAGGACACAUGCAGUCAUAUUUUUUCAAUCCAUCCGUUGGAUCAUGUUAUACUGUAGGUGUGUUGGUUCAGUAUUUUUUUCAGGAUUUUAGAGAACUUUUACACCGUUGAAAACCUUAACUAGUUCUGUGGCAAGCUAUUGUAGAAAAUCCUACUCCUAUAUAUAUAUAUAUAUAUAGAGAGAGAGAGAGAGAGACAGAGAGGGAGAGAGAGAGAGCUAAUAUGCUUUGAAGUUUCUUAUUGUUUGAUCCCCCAUUCCGUUCAACUAGAUUGGUUUUUCUCUAACUCUACAUGCCCUAUAUAGGCAUUUGUUAGUUUGCGCUACAGAGUAAGGAUACAUAUUUAACUCUGAUUCCAUUACCCACUUUGUUGUGCUUCUAUGUUGGUAGUUUUGCUACACUAUAGUAGCAAUAAUCCCGUGUGACAAUAAUUGUACUGAUUACAUCAUAGCACAGGGACAACUUGAGGGGCUUUCAAACUGCAGUUCGAGAGACAAUCUGUUUGUUCUAUGGAGGUGUGCUCAAUGGACUUCUGUUUUUGCUACACUAUUCUUCAAUAAAUAAUAGUUUUAUCUUUACAUUUUCUUCCAAGCGACUUUCUUUUCUUUUCUUAUAACUUUGUACCAUCUAAUUCCUGUUAGUGAUAUUUGUUGCGUUAAAUCUCUCUCCUUAGAGGGCCGAAGUUUAGGUAAGACUAAAUCCCGAAGUUGUUU